UUGUCUUGAGGGUUAAGCCAUGCACGCCUAUGCUCACCCUGCACAGAAGGGGAAGCCGCGAACUGCUCAGUAUAUCGGCGACAAUACACGGGGUGGGCGAUGCUAGUCCGGACACCUGUAGGAAUCCCAGAGCUAAUACGUGCACACGAGUCCUCCUCCCAACGGGGUUCGCCCCCGCGGGGAGAGGGCGCAUUUAUUAGGAUCUCGACCGGCGGUGGGUGGUUAACGCCGCCCACCAGGCUGAGGCGAACUCUGGGUAUGUGACGACCGCUAUUAGCGGCGUGCCCGUUUGCUCGCCGUCCCAUCAAAUUUAGACGGCCCGGGCAAGAGCCCCCCGUGUUGGCUACGGGUGACGGAGGAUCAGGGUUCGAUCCCGGAGAGGGAGCCUGCGAGACGGCUACCACGCUUAAGGGUGGCAGCAGGCGCGCAACUUACCCACUCCCAGCACGGUGAGGUAGUGAAGAUAAAUGUCGGGGCUGGGCUCGCUUGCGAGCCUAGCGGUCGGAUUGAGCGUAGACCAAACACGUGCCGUUGAUGACCUAUCGGAGGGCAAGUCUGGUGCCAGCAGCCGCGGUAAUUCCAGCUCCGAUGGCGUAUGUUGUAGUUGCUGCGUUUAAAACGCUCGUAGUUGGAUCUCUGAGGUGACGGCGGCGACACACCGCGGGUGGCGUUGUCCCGGCGAUUAUGCACCGCCGUGGUUUUGGGGAUGGAGCAAGCGGCGGUCGCGCGUCCUUUCCCGUUCCCCUCCGGGGGUGGCGGUGGGGGGGCCGUGGUCGUUCGCGACCGGACCCUCGCGGCGGAUCUCGCCGGGCAUCGCUCGCCCGUCGCUACCGGUUUAGUCUCUUUCCGUCUUAAGCCGCGUCGGCCCGGUACGUGGCGUAUCCGGGGCCGGCGCUCAGGUACGGGCGGUGUUCUCCCUGAAUCAAUUGGAGUGCUCAAAGCAGGUCGUGCUCGCACAGCUUUGCUCGGAACGAUGUGAUGACGCCACCGUCCCGUAAUGUUUUAAUCACGGGCCCGGUCCCCGUGGGGACGGUGGGCGAGGUCUAUAGAGACGGCCGGGGGGCGGCGUACUACCGCGGGAGGGGUGGAAUCCGACGAUCGCGGUGGGACGAACAAGAGCGAAGGCACCGGCCAAGAGCGCCUUCGUUGAUCAUGAACGAAAGUCGGAGGAACGAACGCGAUCAGGUACCGCGGUAGUUCCGACAGUAAACCAUGCCGACCGGUUACGCGGGGACGUCCCCAGUGGGGAAGCCUCGCGAGGCCCCGGAGAAAUCAGAGUGCCUGGGCUCCGGGGGGAGUACGGUCGCAAGGCUGAAACUUAAAGGAAUUGACGGAAGGGCACCACCAGGAGUGG
rnacentral:rRNA from 1 species